AACACUAGAGUUAGUGUAAAGUCAAGAUUGAACAUAUAAUCCUUUGAGUUAAGGAUUCGAUCAUACUUGCUAUGAGUUCCGUGCUCGAGGGCGGCGCUCCCCCUCGGGCGAUGCGCUCCGGAGUUUUUGCAUCACGGAUUGGAGUAAACCCGAAGGACGGUCUUAGCGGGAGGAAGCUGAGGGCUCGCGAUGAUGGACUUAAUGUGAAGCAAGUUAAUGUGGCGAAACCCC
rnacentral:lncRNA from 1 species